rnacentral:rRNA from 1 species
UCGAACGCGAAAGGGGCUUCGGCCCUGAGUAGAGUGGCGAACGGGUGAGUAACACGUGGGUGAUCUACCUCUGAGUGGGGGAUAACGUUCCGAAAGGAGCGCUAAUACCGCAUGACGUACUAGGUUUGAAGACCUGGAAACCAAAGCUGGGGACCGCAAGGCCUGGCGCUUGGAGAGGAGCCCGCGCCUGAUUAGCUAGUUGGCGGGGUAAUGGCCCACCAAGGCGACGAUCAGUAGCCGGCCUGAGAGGGCGGACGGCCACACUGGGACUGAGACACGGCCCAGACUCCUACGGGAGGCAGCAGUGGGGAAUUGUUCGCAAUGGGCGCAAGCCUGACGACGCAACGCCGCGUGGAGGAUGAAGGCCUUCGGGUCGUAAACUCCUGUUGAUCGGGAAGAACGAGUCUCGGGCUAAUCACCGGGACAGUGACGGCACCGAUUGAGGAAGCCACGGCUAACUCUGUGCCAGCAGCCGCGGUAAUACAGAGGUGGCAAGCGUUG